UGGGCUUUCCAUGCUCUUUAUAUUCUUUUAUAUAGGUAUUUUUUUAUUUUGGACUUUUAUGUGUGUUUAUCUCUGGGCCCUAUAUCUUGUGCGUUUUUGCAGAAAAAUUAAGUAAAGAUGUAGGUUAUAUCGCCGUCGUUGUAAUCGGGUCCCGAUGAAGGCCGCUCCGAUGAACAUACUGUAACGCUUCGGGUUUCCAUUUAUUUUCUUCUUUACUCCUAGCAUUAAAUUGAGCUCGGACUGCUCUUCAUAUGCAACCAUCCAAAGCUCUCCUAUAAAUUGCCAUCGUUGCAGCGAUGAAGACCGCCGUAUCUACGAAAACUACAAGGUAAUAUUUGCUGAUUUGAGAGCCGGUCGAUGUUCAACGACAGCCGAGGUACGUCUUCUGAGGUGCUCUAAUAUCUGGAAAGAAAAGAAGCCAACAAGUCCCCUGCAAUGGACUCAGUCGUAAGGGUAUUUAGACGAGAAUCAGAGUUGCCUGAUAACAAUGACAAUGUUCAAAACGCUGGAAGCGCGUUCUCUUCAGUGCGUUUGUUGGUUACAUCGACGCAGGCGAUGCAUUUAAUUGGAAAGCAUGGAUCUUUAAUCAAAUCAAUAAUGGAGAACUUUGGUGCAUCAGUUCCCAUCUUAUUAGAAGGAAACGCCGUUUUAUGCUGCAUAAGAUGAGAGGAUAGUUGCUUUUGCAGGGGGAAGCUUUAAAGAUUGUGAAAGAAGCGGUUGUUGUACACCUAAGGACAUUUGUAGUUGACCAUUCUUUGGUUCCUCUUUUUGAGAAGAAACUUUUUCAUACAGAUUAUGAAGGAUAAGGAAGAGCUUAUUUCCUGUUGAGAGAUAUAAAUGUGCGCAAAAAAAAGUUGAGCUCAGUUGGACAAACAAAAGAUUCAAUGAUUUUCCAGUUCAGUUCUAUAGAAUUAAACCGUAAUACCAUGUUCGUAUUUGAAAUAUGUUGAUGGCUUAAGAUAUUCAAGGAAGAGCAAUUAGUUGUGUUGAUGGAUAAUAAGGCUUGCUUUGGUUUAUCUGCUGCCCAGUUUUGCAAGUUA